GGAGAUCCAGCAGGCGACAAGAAAUAACAGUCUGUGCAUACAAAAACACCUUGAGCUCUCUCUUUCAUGAGAAAAAAAGAUAGUUGUGUAAGGCCAAAGAAAGGCAGUGCUGCUGCUGCUCAGGGUUGUUGUGACUGACCUGUCCAUCCUUCUGGAAUGCUGACUGCUGGUGGGAGCUCUCUGGCAGCUGAUGGCAUCCACAGGCCCUGUCUGGCU